UACAGAGGUCCCGAGCGUUGUUCGGAUUCACUGGGCGUAAAGGGUGCGUAGGUGGUGAGGUAAGUCGGAUGUGAAAUCUCCGGGCUCAACCCGGAAACUGCAUUGGAAACUACCUUGCUUGAGGGUUUGAGGGGGGACUGGAAUUCUCGGUGUAGCAGUGAAAUGCGUAGAUAUCGAGAGGAACACCGGUGGCGAAGGCGAGUCCCUGGAAAACACCUGACACUGAGGCACGAAAGCUAGGGGAGCAAACGGG
rnacentral:rRNA from 1 species